GUUCUACGAAUUGCAUUAAGGUGGGCUUGAAAACAAGAGAGAGUCAACGACAUCAGAGUAAAAGAGAUAAAUAUAUAAUGUUGCCACCAAAAAUACAAUUUCGUAUUCUCCCUAAUAAUGAGCGUAUAAAUUGAUUUUUAAAGUAAAUUACCCUUGAAGAUACUUUUAGCUAUUAUUCUAAUGCCAAAAAAUAUACUUAGUUGAGAAAUAUUAGAUAUAAAAUUUAAUAUUACUUAUUAGAAAAUAUAUAUGGGGGAUUAUGUGUGGCAACACUAAUGUCCGGACGCCAUAUUGGUUUUGACAUUGUUGACGUCACAAGAAAAAUGUCUGCGGCCGGUUGCGCACCAUUUUAUCUUGUACUAAUGUUUAUUUGUAAUAAAUAAACUACUUCCAUUUAAUUCUACAUACAUUGAUAACGUUGAGUCGAGCUUGCUCCUCCGUUGCUGUGUUUUGGUGAAAUUAAGUGUGUAUUUGUGAGAUAUAGACUCGGUGUUGAGACAGUGACUUGUUUGAUUUUGUUUUGUGUUUAAUUCGCGAUGAGUUCACAAAAAGAAAACACAAGAAUCUGCUGCUUGUGUGGAUCUUCACCUUCUAAAGAUCCCAGCAUCACUUUGCAUCGGUUUCCAAAGCCUGGCACUAAAAAUGCUCUGCGUUGUGAAUUAUGGGCAAAGUAUUGCUUCCCAAACGAAGCCUGGUCUUCACCAAAAUUCCAGGACGCACUCCAUAAACAACAUAAGAUGCUAUGCAGCAAACAUUUCAAAAGCACAUGCUUUAAUGAGAAGAAGUUGUUCAGAACAGCUGUACCUGAUGUUCAAUGCCAAAAGGAUACAACAACUUCUAAUGUGCCAGAUCAAUCUGCCAUAUUUGAACCUGUUGCCGGUCCAUCCAGAAUGAAUCCUUUAACAGAACAUAAUGUAAACAUUAUCACUCCGACCAAUUCAGGAAUGUUUGUGUAUAAUCACAUACUUGUGAUUUAUGAACACCUUUUGUACCCUAUUUCUGGAAAUAAAUUAUAAUUAUUAACAUGCUAAAUAAAAAACUCUUGUACUGUAAUCUUCCUUUUAUUACACUGCUGCACUGCUCUAUAAAGAUAAAUAUUAGCAAUUUAUGCACAAGUACACUGUGUUUCAUGUCGAUUAUUGCUGAGCAAAAUGUGAUAAUCUUGCUCAGCCAUAAUCGACGAACGCACUGGGGCCCGAUUCUCCUAAUUUUACGAUUCAGUCGAGUCGAUUCACAUUCGACUGAGAUUCAAUCCCGACUCAAUUACGAUUGAAGCAUAUGUGGCAUUCCGCUAUUUUUUCUUUGAAAUAAACGUUUUUAUCCUUUUCUGUCAUUCAAUAAUGAAUCAUUUUGUCUGCAAAUGAUUUACGAUUGCAAUAUGAUUGUAGAGCAAACUACCGUAUAGACCAAAAUCACCAAAAUAGCAGACCAAUCGCAAACCAAUCGAAUGUCGUUGGAAUACGAUUGGUCUUAUAUUAGUAGCAGAAUGCCCGAUAUGGUUAAAACUGCUACUGCGAUCAUAUUGCGAUUCAAUUUCUAUUCGAUUUUAACAUUAUUAACUUAGGAGAAUCGGGCCCCUGUACUUGUGCAUAAAAUGCAAUAAAAAUGACCUAUAGAAUA